rnacentral:rRNA from 1 species
GCGAACGCUGGCGGCAGGCCUAAUACAUGCAAGUCGAACGGUCUCUUCGGAGGCAGUGGCGGACGGGUGAGUAACGCGUGGGAACGUGCCCUUUGGUACGGAACAACUGAGGGAAACUUCAGCUAAUACCGUAUGUGCCCUUCGGGGGAAAGAUUUAUCGCCAUUGGAGCGGCCCGCGUUGGAUUAGCUAGUUGGUGGGGUAAUGGCCCACCAAGGCGACGAUCCAUAGCUGGUCUGAGAGGAUGAUCAGCCACACUGGGACUGAGACACGGCCCCAGACUCCUACGGGAGGCAGCAGUAGGGAAUCUUGCGCAAUGGGCGAAAGCCUGACGCAGCCAUGCCGCGUGAAUGAUGAAGGUCUUAGGAUUGUAAAAUUCUUUCACCGGGGACGAUAAUGACGGUACCCGGAGAAGAAGCCCCGGCUAACUUCGUGCCAGCAGCCGCGGUAAUACGAGGGGCUAGCGUUGCUCGGAAUUACGUGGGCGUAAAGGGCGCGUAGGCGGAUAGUUAGUCAGAGGUGAAAGCCCAGGGCUA